CACGUAGGUGGCGAGCGUUAUCCGGAUUUACUGGGCGUAAAGGGCACGCAGGCGGUCUAUCAAGUUCGGCGUGAAAUCUCCCGGCUUAACUGGGAGCGGUCGUUGAAAACUGAUAGACUUGAGUCGGUGAGAGGGGUGCGGAAUUCCCGGUGUAGUGGUGGAAUGCGUAGAUAUCACAAGGAAGGCCAAAGGCGAAAGCAGCUCACUGGCACAAUACUGACCCUCAGGGACGAAGGCUAAGGUAGCGAAAAGG
rnacentral:rRNA from 1 species